GACGAACGCUGGCGGCGUGCUUAACACAUGCAAGUCGAACGGAAAGGCCUCUUUCGGGGGGUACUCGAGUGGCGAACGGGUGAGUAACACGUGAGUAACCUGCCCUUGACUUUGGGUUAACUUCAGGAAACUGGGGCUAAUACCGGAUAGGAGCUCCUGCUGCAUGGUGGGGGUUGGAAAGUUUCGGCGGUUGGGGAUGGACUCGCGGCUUAUCAGCUUGUUGGUGGGGUAGUGGCUUACCAAGGCUUUGACGGGUAGCCGGCCUGAGAGGGUGACCGGCCACAUUGGGACUGAGAUACGGCCCAGACUCCUACGGGAGGCAGCAGUGGGGAAUAUUGCACAAUGGGUGGAAGCCUGAUGCAGCAACGCCGUGGGCGGGAUGACGGCCUUCGGGUUGUAAACCGCUUUCGCUCAUGACGAAGCUUUGUGUGACGGUAGUGGGUAAAGAAGCACCGGCUAACUACGUG
rnacentral:rRNA from 1 species